CUAUCCAUGAGCAGGUUGAAGGUGCCGUAACAGGCACUGGAGGACCGAACCCACUGUCGUUGAAAAGCCAGGGGAUGACUUGUGGAUCGGAGUGAAAGGCUAAUCAAGCCCGGAGAUAGCUGGUUCUCCCCGAAAGCUAUUUAGGUAGCGCCUCGGACGAAUACCACAGGGGGUAGAGCACUGUUUCGGCUAGGGGGUC
rnacentral:rRNA from 16 species